rnacentral:lncRNA from 1 species
GCUGGCUGUGCCCAGGCACUGCCUUGGGGUAGGCAGGAGCUGGCAGGAAGGCUCAGCAUGCGCAGGCUCUGACUUCUGUAAAGCAGAUGGAGGGUGUGCUUGCGUGAGCCUUCAGUUAAGCCUUGUUCUAGAGAGUAAUUAAGCCUUUCCCUUGAUUGGCUUUAGACGUGUUUCUUGAACGCUGCGGUGCUUCUGCCCUGGGAUUUGCGAUCUGACCCGAACUCUGUACUCAGCUCCUGUGCAGCUCAGCUUGGCGUGGGUUCUCCAAACUCCAGCUUCGAGGUGCCCUUACUGCAUAGAAUAGACCCCCCCCAGGAAGCUGGGGGCACCUCGCAGCCUCCUGGUACAGCUCAGCACUGCUGGCUGCCCAGGGCACGCUGCAGAAGAGUGCUGACAGAAACAGAAUUGUCGUUGCUGAGGUCAACUGGGAGCCACACAAAUUGCUGGGCAAUUGGGAUUCGCGUCACGAGCUUUCCUGCACAGUCACCCUGAUCCCCGGGGUGGAUUUCCUCCCCAUCCUGGCACAGGAGCCAAUGCAUAAGGGUCUGUGCAUCCACCCUCCUGCC